GUCCUUCCUGUGCUGUUCUCAUGAUAGCCAAUAAGUCUUACAAGAUCUGACAGUACUAUAAGGGGGAGUUUCCUUGCACAAGCUCUUUUUGCCAUCCACAUAACUUGUGACUUACUCCUCCUUGCCUCUGCCAUGAUUGUGAGGCCUUCCCAGCCACAUCAAACUGUGAGGCAUACGCAUGUUUCCUGGCUGGAGAACCACUUAUUUGUUUAAUAUUUAUUUUUAAACUGAAGAAUGAAGAAAAUAAAUUUCAAAACGUCGGAGUCCAAAAGAAUGUGGCUAAAAUAUGUACAUGAAAUACUGUACUAAAACAGUCCACAGUCAUCAGUAAAUGCAUAUCCAUUAACGGGUAAGUUACCAAAUUCAUACCACUCAGCAGCAUUGUAAUGCUGACUAAUAAAAAAUCAGCAUUUUUAAUAAGCAUUAUGGUAUUCUCUGAUCUGGCAUGAAAGUAAUCAGGUGUUCACAUGCCUAAGGUGAGGGCUAAUAGGUGCCUCCCAAAUUAUUGCACCACCUUUACUUCCCCAGGGAA
rnacentral:lncRNA from 10 species